UACGAAGGGGGCUAGCGUUGCUCGGAAUCACUGGGCGUAAAGCGCACGUAGGCGGUUUCUUAAGUCAGGGGUGAAAUCCCGGAGCUCAACUCCGGAACUGCCUUUGAUACUGGGAGACUUGAGUUCGGGAGAGGUGAGUGGAACUGCGAGUGUAGAGGUGAAAUUCGUAGAUAUUCGCAAGAACACCAGUGGCGAAGGCGGCUCACUGGCCCGAUACUGACGCUGAGGUGACGAAAGCGUGGGGAGCAAACGGGG
rnacentral:rRNA from 1 species